rnacentral:misc_RNA from 1 species
GGAGGUUAGGGUAGGAGGGUGCGCGCUCCGGCCGACCCGUAGCAGCCACAGUCGCUGCAGACGGUGCCGCGUUGGUGCCAGCCUCGUCUCCCAGCCUCCUCCAGGCUCCCACCACCACCACUCAGACAUGACCUCUCAGGCGGACAGCGAGCUGAGAAAGCGUGUGGCCGACGCGGAGGAGAGAGCCGAGCAGGUUGUACCUGGAUCUGAUUCGGACGAUGAUCGCCUCCCUGAGCAAGUAAGAGAACAUAGAACAAAGCAAAUUAACCAAGGAGCUAGUCAAGAGCCAAGUGUCCUUCAUACUCUUCUUUCUCCACUACCACCGAGAUGGAGAAACUGGGUAAUACGUGGCAUCUUCACCUGGCUUAUGAUUGGCCUCUUCUGUUUGAUAAUUUAUGUUGGCCCACUGGCUCUCAUGUUUACGACACUACUGGUGCAGGUAUGGUGCUUCAAGGAGAUCAUCAACAUUGGGUACUCUGUUUACCGUAUGCAUGGUCUUCCUUGGUUUAGAUCUCUCUCCUGGUGGUUUUUAAUAACAAGUAAUUAUUUCUUCUAUGGAGAGUCAUUGGUGGCAGAUUAUUUCAGCGUUAUUUUUUCUAAGAGUGACAUAAUGCGUUGGUUGAUUGCCUACCACAGAUUAACAUCAUUUACCAUGUACAUUGUUGGAUUUGUGUGGUUUGUGCUCUCCCUCAAGAAGAGAUAUUACAUGCGACAAUUCUCUCUGUUUGCUUGGACACACGUUGCUCUGCUCAUCGUGGUUACCCAGAGUUACCUCAUCAUCAUUAACAUCUUCCACGGCAUGAUCUGGUUCAUCGUGCCUGUCUCCAUGAUUGUAAUCAAUGAUGUCAUGGCCUAUAUGUUUGGCUUCUUUUUUGGCAAGACUCCACUUAUUCAACUCAGCCCAAAGAAGACAUGGGAAGGCUUCAUUGGGGGUGGUAUUUCAACAGUGUUCCUCGGAAUGCUGCUGUCGUAUGCGAUGUGCCAGUAUCCGUUCUUUGUGUGCCCAGUGGAGUACAGCGAGUCUGAAGACAGUUUUAAUUACACCUGUGAUCCAUCUCCGAUAUUCAGACCCCAAGAAUAUAGCUUGCCUGAAACAUUGGCAAACAUAUUUGCUUUGGCUGCUUCUAAAACCACAUGCUGGCUCUACCGUCCACACAUUUGGAACGACACCAUUCAUGAAACAACAACACCACCAGAGAUGGGAUGGAAGAAAACGGCAACAAUAUACCCAUUCGUGCUCCAUUCAAUUGCACUUUCUGUCUUCAGUAGUGUGAUUGGACCUUUUGGAGGUUUCUUUGCUAGUGGCUUUAAGAGAGCAUUUAAGAUAAAGGACUUUGGUGAUGUUAUUCCUGGCCAUGGUGGGAUGAUGGACCGCUUUGACUGCCAGUAUUUGAUGGCCACAUUUGUGAAUGUAUACAUUAUGACCUUCAUCUCUGAGACAUCUCCUCAGAAACUUCUCCAAAAGGUUUACAUGCUGAAGCCAGAGCAACAGCUACAGCUUUACAAUAUGCUCCAAGACUCUCUUAUUGUACGUGGAAUAUUACAACCUUGAGUUAUCUAAUAAAGAUGUUGAGGCGUUAAAUGUAAGUUUUGUGUGAAUGUUGAAUUGUCUUUGCCAAAGUAGCAUAACACUUUCAGAUUUGUUUGUUUAGUUUCUGCGAAAAGGAAAACAAUUGAGCAUUACAAAUUUAUAAAAGGAUUCUUAUAAAGGUAAAACAUGAGAGUCCACAGUACCCUAGUGCAAUUCUGGCAAGCUCUCGGGUGCAUACACGUCUCUGUAAGACAGGUGGAUGUACGUACCUGCUAUGUGAAGAGCUUAAAUUCCUGCUGAUAGCCAGAUAGUGUCAUUAAUGACAUUAAUCUGGGAUAUUUUUUUCAUUGUUUAAGUUUUUAAUCAUCUACAGAUUAUACACACAUGAUAAAAUCAUGAAAAGCCAAAUGAAGAAAUUUAUUAUAAUUUGUUAUUCAAACAAAUGCAAACACAAGCUCAUGACAGUACAGUAUACACAUAAAGAAAAACUUAAUUUAUUAUAAUUGAAUGCAAAAAGUAGUACAUUGUAUAGUUCCAUACUUAGCAACAGUAAUGAUACCCACAUGUAGUAAGUGGUAGUUAAAGUUUAUUUACAGAUCUAUCUUCUCUUGAGAUGAUUUCUUGAUCACCAAAAGAUCACCAAAACCAUUUCCUAAAAUUUUCAGUGUUUGUUUUCUGCAACAGAAACAAAAAAUGAGGGAGAUAAAGCCUAUUCAUUGAUGUUAAAGAUUUUCUGAAUCACUUACAGUAUCAAAACAGAAUUAAUAACUGUUGCACUUGCCUUAAAGUUCAAUUGUUGUUCCCUUCUUCUGUAAGAAUGAAGGCAAGUAAUACAGUACAGGUAUAGUAUAGUAUUUUAUUUUGUUUAUGAGUACAUAAUUGACCAAUAAGAUGUGGUAAUUGUAUGUCUGCUGCAGCAUUUCAUUUGCUUGGGUGAAAUGUCUGUCAAGAGGAAAGAUUUAUGGAAGCAUAUUAAAUUAAUUGUUAUAUUUUAUAAUUAUUUGGAGAUCAGUAUAUAGUGCGUCUUAACAUUGUGUAAAUUAAAUAUUUUUGUACGAUGCAUGGAGCAAAGUUAUGCGGCAGGUAUAACUUAAUCAAUUUGGAUAAUAGUAUAAUAUGGAUAUUAUUAAUUGUUCACAUGACAGGGCAAGGUAGCCCAGUUUUAAUACCUAAUAUCCCGUGAUACGGGAUUGUAAUUCGCAUUACCUACUAUUCUUCGAUAGGAUAUAGUAAAUACAUAUAUAUCUGCUAACUCAUCAUAGGUAAUUGUGUAGUUUAUAUUAUACCUCUAAUAAACUCAUUAUACUAUAAUAUUAUCCAAUCCCAACUAUUUAUAUUUUCUUCAUAUAAAAAAGUGACCCUUGGUACUUUGUGCACUGUAUGAUAAAGUGGUGUGGAUGCCACAGUGAGUGCUUGCCCGCGACACUGUUGGUGACGCUGGGCCACAAAGGUGGGCCGCGGCACUGUUGGUGACGCUGGGCCACUACGGUGGUGUGCCUAGGAUUACUACUGAGUGGCAGGGUGUUCUUGUCUAGUUACUAUAUUGUGUGUGUGUGUGUAUAAAUAUGCCAUUAUAUGUAUUUGUAUCAGAUUUAAUGUAUGUAUAGAAAUUAGGUUGAAACUAAAUCUAUUGCUUUAUUUCCGAGUCUAUGAACAAAUUCCUGUUCAGAUUUUUGUGCAAUGAUUUUGUGACUAAAUGCCACAAAUAUCUUUUCCUAUAUUUAAUAGUUUCCAAUAUAAUUUUCUUCCCGGUUUGAUCAUUCCAACAGAGUGUUUUCAUUUGAUAUCAUGUACUGUAAGGAUUAUAUAAUGUGGAAUUCAUGGAAAUGAUUUAUUACACAGAUAUCAGAACGUGUCUGUUUUCCUAUUGGUAGACAGUUUCUACUAAAAAAUUUAUUUUGAGGAUGCUUCAGUGCAAAUUGUUAAUUGGUUAUUUAUUGGAUUAAUCUGGAGGUAUUUAAAAUAAAAAAAAAUUAAGUUAAAAAUCAUCUAUUUUGGAUCAAAUAUAAUAAUUUGAAAUUGAAAUUCUGUAUGUUAAAUAUGUAUAUAAUGCAGUACUACAUUUGAAAGAUUUGUGAAAAUAAUUCAUAACAUGUUGUAACUGCUUUGGUACAGGGAAUUGUAUAUCUGGGAAAAAAUAUAUUUAUUUAUAAUAUUUUUGGAAAUGUUGCUCUAGUGUAAAUUAUUUGCAGAGAAGCCUACAAGUUUAUACUCCCAGCUGGAGAAGAGUGGUAUGAGUAGUACGAUUUUACAUUCCUUUAUUUAUGUAACCAUACUCACCAUCUUGCUGAAACCUUUCAUUAUUCUCUGUGUGCCAUAUGGUGAUUCAUUUCUUGGUUGUCCCAAUACUUCACCAUUAUUCUAUUGACUAUGGCAUAUUGAACAUUCCAUUCCUAAGUUUUGUUAAAUUAUUACCUCAUUUUUCUAUUAAAGCUAUGAAUAAAUUUUAAUUUUAUUUCA